GUCUCAUUACUGCAAUUCCCAAAUGCCCAUGGAAGGUGUUUGUGCAGGUUGACAGUGAGUAAGAUGUAUCAAAGCUGGCCAUGAUAAGUUGGGAAAUCUCCCUGUCUGCGUAACUCUGCGCAACUCUGCACAGAGGCUGAGGUGGGGAAGCUGCUUUGCCAUGUCGUGCCUUGGUGUACGCUGUCAGGGUGGUGUGUAUGUCUCUCUGAGCAGGGCUGAUGGAGGGCGGUUAAAGCACGCCAGCUGCCUUUCCAAAGAAGACCUUUCCAAGGGAGACCUGGCACAACAAGCCAGGUAGACCACAGAAUUCCUUGAGGAUGCACUGCUGCACAAUAUACCCUCCACUGGAGCAUCAACAGGUAUUUCUUGGGCAAGAAGAAAGCCCACACCAUCUUGUGAUGCCUCCCACUAAAAAUGAAGGAAGCUACUGCCACCUAAACCACUUCUUGUUCCAUUAGAUUCCUCUCUUCAUGCAGCCCUCCAACUCUGGAUGCGUUUCAAUAGAAACCGAACCACUGUCCAUGUAUUCCAAGGAAAGCAGGGUGUGAGGCCAUGAAUAAUGGAGCUGCUCUGUUUCCCCAGGAUAACAGUUCAUUUACAGUCUUUAUCAUGCUGCCUGUUAGCUUUCAAUUGAAUAAGGGAGACACCAAUUUCA